rnacentral:rRNA from 1 species
UGGGGAAUAUUGCACAAUGGGCGGAAGCCUGAUGCAGCGACGCCGCGUGGGGGAUGAAGGCCUUCGGGUUGUAAACUCCUUUCGACAGGGACGAAGCUUUUGUGACGGUACCUGUAUAAGAAGCACCGGCUAACUACGUGCCAGCAGCCGCGGUAAUACGUAGGGUGCGAGCGUUGCCCGGAAUUACUGGGCGUAAAGAGCUCGUAGGUGGUUUGUCGCGUCGUCUGUGAAAUUCCGGGGCUUAACUCCGGGCGUGCAGGCGAUACGGGCUGACUUGAGUGCUGUAGGGGAGACUGGAAUUCCUGGUGUAGCGGUGAAAUGCGCAGAUAUCAGGAGGAACACCGAUGGCGAAGGCAGGUCUCUGGGCAGUAACUGACGCUGAGGAGCGAAAGCAUGGGUAGCGAACAGG